rnacentral:rRNA from 1 species
UGGGGAAUAUUGCACAAUGGGGGAAACCCUGAUGCAGCGACGCCGCGUGAAGGAAGAAGUAUUUCGGUAUGUAAACUUCUAUCAGCAGGGAAGAAAAUGACGGUACCUGAGUAAGAAGCACCGGCUAAAUACGUGCCAGCAGCCGCGGUAAUACGUAUGGUGCAAGCGUUAUCCGGAUUUACUGGGUGUAAAGGGAGCGUAGACGGAUAGGCAAGUCUGGAGUGAAAGCCCGGGGCUCAACCCCGGGACUGCUUUGGAAACUGUGGAUCUGGAGUGCCGGAGAGGUAAGCGGAAUUCCUAGUGUAGCGGUGAAAUGCGUAGAUAUUAGGAGGAACACCAGUGGCGAAGGCGGCUUACUGGACGGUAACUGACGUUGAGGCUCGAAAGCGUGGGGAGCAAACAGGAUUAGAUACC